CCUUGGCCGAGAGGCCUGGGGAAUCUUCGUAACGUGCAUCGUGAUAGGGAUCGAUCAUUGCAAUUCUUGAUCGUGAAC
rnacentral:rRNA from 1 species